UUCCUGGGUGAGGCUCCAGGCUCCUUCAGGGCACAAUGGUAGAGCAGGCCAAGCAUGGAAUCUUCCUCCAAAGACCUACCUCCUCACAGACAGGGGGAGAGGGAGCUUGGCACCCAAGAUGAGGCAGAGGAUUCUCACGCAUUUGAGGAGCGGCCUGUUCUAGCUACCGUUCGCUGGUCAACCAGAUGCCGGUGCGGCAGCAUGGGAGGAGCGCAGGGACUGCUCCAGAGAAACCAGAAAACAUUUGAUGGACGUGAGUCCCUUCAAGUGCUCCUAGAUGCCUAAGUCCUUGGAGAGGGAAAGAACCAGGAAUGUAGGAGAGAAAUCACAUGGGGGGCCCGUGUGUGUAUGCAGAAGGGCUUAUGGUGGAAUCCUCAUCCCAGCCUUGUGCAGAGGGAAAAGGGCCAUGGCAGAGACAUGAGGACUCUAAAACUUUCGCUAGCUCGAGCGCUCGGCUCUUCUAGUCACAUUCUAUUGGCCAAAGCCAACCACACGGACAAGCCUGGGACAUCGUCCAGAUGAUCAUCCCACGAACCUCAGAGGGCUGCACACAGAGAGAAUGCGGUUCUUAGCUCUGCAAAGAAAAAGGCCCGAGAACUAUCCUCUUCCAUUGAUUUUAUUUCUCCAAGAGUUUUCUUACUAAGUGAAUUAACCUUGCACCGUUAACUUGACGUAAU